ensembl:miRNA MIR221 microRNA 221
GAUGAUCCAGCUUUUGGGCCUUCACCUGGCAUACAAUGUAGAAUACUGUGUUUGUUAAGCAACAGCUACAUUGUCUGCUGGGUUUCAGGCUGUCUGGAAGUACA